rnacentral:tRNA from 1 species
GCGGGUAUAGCUCAGUUGGUUAGAGCACCAGAUUGUGAUUCUGGGGGCCGCCGGUUCAAAUCCGGUUACUCGCCCCA